rnacentral:lncRNA from 1 species
UUUAGGAUUUAUGAUUUAGGGUUUAGGGUUUAGAGUUUAGGGUUUAGGGUUUAAAGUUUAGGGUUUAAGGUUUAGGGUUUAGAGUUUAGAGUUUAGGGUUUAGGGUUUAGGGUUUAGGGUUUAGAGUUUAGAGUUUAGGGUUUAGGGUUUAGGAUUUAGAGUUUAGAGUUUAGGAUUUAGGGUUUAGGGUUUAGGGUUUAGAGUUUAGGGUUUAGGGUUUAGGGUUUAGAGUUGAGAAAUGAGGUUUUGGGGAUAAGAUUUCAAAUUUUGAAAAAUAAAAAAAUUAAAAUUUUCAAAGAAUAAACUUAGAAAGGUGCUAUUUUGGUCAUUUUAGUUUUUGAGUGCUAUUUUUAUGAUAUAAACUUAGAAAAUUGCUAUUUUGGAGAUUUGCGCUUUAAACAACCGCGAUAAUGAUGAUCUAAAAAAAACAGCCAAAUAUGAAAGCUACAGGUCCUAGUGUUUCUAGGAAUUAUAGUAAUGGUCAUGAAGAUAAUCAUAUCAUAUACAAUACUAAAAGUAACAUAUCCUCAACUGUGGUUGUGCCACGUAGGCAAAAAUAUUCAAAA